rnacentral:rRNA from 1 species
AACUGAAGAGUUUGAUCAUGGCUCAGAUUGAACGCUGGCGGCAGGCUUAACACAUGCAAGUCGAGCGGGGGAAGGUAGCUUGCUACUGGACCUAGCGGCGGACGGGUGAGUAAUGCUUAGGAAUCUGCCUAUUAGUGG